AUGGAACAAUGUAGGCAAGGGAAGUCGGCAAAACGGAUCCGUAACUUCGGGAUAAGGAUUGGCUCUGAGGACUGGGCUCGGGGGUCCCGGCCCCGAACCCGUCGGCUGUCGGCGGAUUGCUCGAGCUGCUCACGCGGCGAGAGCGGGUCGCCGCGUGCCGGCCGGGGGACGGACCGGGAAUCGCCCCUUCGGGGGCUUUCCCCGAGCAUGAAACAGUCGACUCAGAAGUGGUACGGACAAGGGGAAUCCGACUGUUUAAUUAAAACAAAGCAUUGCGAUGGUCCUCGCGGAUGCUGA
rnacentral:rRNA from 1 species